rnacentral:snRNA from 1 species
GUGCUCACUUUGGCAGCACAUAUACUAAAAUUGGGAAUGAUACAGAGAAGAUUAGCAUGGCCCCUAGGCGAGGGAUGACCAAACAAAUUCAUGGACUAUUU